AGCCCUGGGGACAGCCUUGGGGACACCUGGAGACACCUGGGGACACCUGGGGACAUCACAGCACAACCCCCAUGGGUCACCAAGGCUGGGGACCACCAGGGAUGGGACAUUUGGGGACAUUUGGGGACAUCACAGCACAACCCCUGUGGAUCAUUGAGGGUGGGGACCACCGGGGAUGGGACACUUGGUGACACUUGGUGACACUUGGUGACACUUGGUGACCUUUGAGCCGGGGCAGAGCUCCCGGAGCCGCAGCCCCCGCGGGAGGAGCGGCACUCGGGGCUCCGGGGGAACGGGAACGCAGCGAGGGCCCCGCCGCUCCCGGCUGGCUCCGGCCGCUGUCCCCUGUCCUGAGCCCGCUGUCACCUCCCCGGUGUCACCUCCCCGGUGUCCCCACAGCUGCUGAAGAUCGCCUUCGACGAGGAGGUGGCCUCGGACAGCGCCGAGAUCUUCCGGAAACAUCUGCACAAGCUGCGCUACCCCCAGCACGUGCGCGGCACCUUCGCCUUCACCGCGGGCCAGUCCCCCAAGCAGGCCAUGCAGCCCAAGGCCAAGGACAAGAACCCCUCGCUCAGGACGCUGUCCAAGAACCUGGUGAAGAACGCCAAGAGAACCAUCGGCCGGCAGUACGUCACCCGCAAGAAGUACACCCCGCCCGCCUGGGAACAGCGCGGCAGCCACAACUUCCCCGAGGACAACGAGGACGAGAUCUCAGGUGGGGAGAGGUGACACUGUCACCGUGCUGGGGACAGGGAGAGGUGACACUGUCCCUGCCUGGGGACAGGGAGAGGUGACACUGUCACUGCAGUGGGGACAGGGAGAGGUGACACUGUCCCUGCCUGGGGACAGGGAGAGGUGACACUGUCCCUGUGCUGGGGACAGGGAGAGGUGACACUGUCACUGCCUGGGGACAGGGAGAGGUGACACUGUCACUGCCUGGGGACAGGGAGAGGUGGCACUGUCACCAUAAUGGGGACAGGGAGAGGUGACACUGUCACUGCCUGGGGACAGGGAGAGGUGACACUGUCACUGUGGUGGGGACAGGGAGAGGUGACACUGUCACUGUGCUGGGGACAGGGAGAGGUGACACUGUCCCUGCCUGGGGACAGGGAGAGGUGACACUGUCCCUGUGCUGGGGACAGGGAGAGGUGACACUGUCCCUGCCUGGGGACAGGGAGAGGUGACACUGUCACUGCAGUGGGGACAGGGAGAGGUGACACUGUCACCAUGAUGGGGACAGAGAGAGGUGACACUGUCACUGCAGUGGUGACAGGGAGAGGUGACACUGUCACUGCCUGGGGACAG
rnacentral:lncRNA from 1 species